AUGGAACGUAUGGCUGCAUCGUACUUCCAGGAGUUGUAUAAGAAGGAUCCCACCCUUUCCCCUGAGAUUGUAUUGGAUCAGAUCGUACCCAAGGUCACGAAUGAUAUGAACGAGAGCUUAUUGGCGCCAUUUUCUGAUAAGGAGAUCGCGGAUGCAUUGUUCCAGAUCGGUCCUUUAAAGGCACCCGGUCCAGACGGCUUGCCUUCAAGGUUCUAUCAAAGAAAUUGGGGCUGUGUAAAGGAGGAAAUUACAGCUGCGGUACGGAAGUUCUUUGACACAGGGCACAUGCCGCUUGGAGUGAAUGAAACAUCAAUUGUAUUAAUACCAAAGAUCCAACAUCCUGUGUCUCUUAAGGAUUUUCGGCCGAUUUCGUUAUGCAAUGUGGUCUAUAAGAUUGUCUCAAAGUGUUUGGUAAAUCGUCUCCGUUCACUUCUUACGGAGCUGAUUUCUGAAAAUCAAAGUGCGUUCAUUCUGGGCCGUUUAAUUUCAGAUAAUUCCAUCAUCGCCUUCGAAUGUAUCCACCAUAUUCAGUCCUCAUCCCGAGAUGUUGAUUUUUGUGCAUACAAGUUGGAUCUAUCGAAGGCGUAUGACCGUGUUGAUUGGGACUUUCUGGAGCGUGCGCUAUUGAGAUGGGGUUUUGCUACCCAGUGGGUAUCUCUGGUCAUGCAAUGCGUGCAUUCAGUGAGAUUUUCAGUAAAAUUCAAUGGGCGUCUCUUGGAGCAGUUUUCACCUUCUCGAGGUUUGCGUCAAGGUGACCCUCUGUCACCCUUUUUAUUCCUCUUUGUCGCUGACGCUUUUAUCUGCUCUGCUUCAUAA
rnacentral:rRNA from 1 species